rnacentral:rRNA from 1 species
AGCAGCCGCGGUAAUUCCAGCUCCAAUAGCGUAUAUUAAAGUUGUUGCAGUUAAAAAGCUCGUAGUUGAAUUUCGGGAUCAGUACGCUGGUCAUGCCUUUGGUAUGUACUGGCGUUACCGGUUCCUACCUUCUGACGAACCGUCAUGUCAUUCAUUUGGUGUGGCGGGGAAUCAGGACUGUUACUUUGAAAAAAUUAGAGUGUUUAAAGCAGGCUCGCGCUUGAAUACAUUAGCAUGGAAUAAUGAAAUAGGACGUUUGAUCCUAUUUUGUUGGUUUCUAGGAUUGACGUAAUGAUUAAUAGGGAUAGUUGGGGGCAUUAGUAUUCAAUUGUCAGAGGUGAAAUUCUUGGAUUUAUUGAAGACUAACUACUGCGAAA